rnacentral:ncRNA from 1 species
CUACGGCGCCUGAGUUCAACUCGGCGCCGUAGUCUUAGUAGGAACCCCAGCUCACAAAGCCGUGGUUUCGCUCUGAAAAUUUGAUGACCAGCAGGGGCAUCCGGGGUGGUUCUCGGAAACUAUCUGCGCGGUCCGUAGUGGCUUUACCUGGGUCGCUGCUUCAGAACUUGGGAAGUCAUGCUGCGGUCUCCACGCUGGUGGUGUCUCCUUAUCGAAGGUGACCA